GUAAAAAUGUGCAGAAAUAGAAAGAACACUUCACAAUAUGAUUAUAGACACAAAAUGCUGGAGCAAAGGGCCUGAACCACUUUCCCGACCUCUGCCGAGUUUGCCCUUGACUCAUACUCGCAGCAUGGUCGUCACAAGGUCGUAGGUAGGUCGUAGGCGGUCGU